rnacentral:lncRNA from 1 species
CAGGAAAGGCGCUCCUGUCCUGAGCAGUGCCGCGCUGCUGCUGGGAAAGCCGGUGCUGUGCUAGCGGCCGCUGUGUGCUCUGUCCCUUCCCCAGCCCGUAGGGGAGACGCAGACUCUCGGGUCCCGAAGCCCGUAGUUGUCGGCUCGCACGUUGCCGUGCGGUGGUCGAACGGGAGGUCCGGAUGGAGUGAGAAGAAUCCCGACGCCGUGCUGGAGUCACACGGGUCGGCUGGGUGCCGUGGUGGUCCUUUGCUACGCAAGGACCUUAUAAGGUCCUUAUAUAGGAAGCUGCUUCCCUUAUAAGCUAGUUGAAACUGUAGUUGCUAAAGCAUCGAUUUAACACCUUACCAUAAUCUCCACCCUGGCCUUUCCAAGCAGUGAGAAAGAAAAGAACGUGGUGGUCUGUUGACCGCCUUUACCUGGCCUUGAAAGCUGGCUGCCACCCUGUGCAGAAGCUCCCCAGAAUGAAGGGAAUAUGCCACAGGUGCCAGCACCAGGCCUCCUAACGAAGCCUUGGGCCCACACCUGUGGGUUUUAAGCAAGCAUUUUACACGUGCAAUGCAGUUUAUUUGCUGCAGAAGUGGAGGGAGCUGUACAACACGUGUGUUCCCUAUGCCUUUGCCCUGUGUCACAUUGCUGGGGGAUGUGACGCCAGAAAGUGCAGCCCGUGUAGGCUGCAAGUGCCGGGGCCGAAUUAGCACUGUAAGCCUGCACAGAAAUGAGCCCAGAGAGGUGGUCCUGCUCUGUCCAAACACUCGGGCAAAAUACAGUACCCAAAUCUAACCCACACACGUACACACACUCAUUCUCAAAGCAGCCACCACUUUAAAGUGACACCCCUCUCUCACAUCCGUCCCCGCACGUCUCUUUGGGCGGACGGAUGCUGCUGACUGAAUACAGGUUUCCCCACCGAGGGGCCCCUGUAGCUUGGCAUUCUCACUGCAUUUGGACUCUGUGUACUUAGUUGGAGAAAGGGUCAGGAUUUCAUACUGAGCUUUGCUUCCAGAUUAUAUGCAUUUCUUGAAAACAGCUCGGUACAUACUAAGAAGAGGCCUAGCGUGCAUCCAUCACCACUGAACUAUAAACCAUGAAAGAAGUUGGAAACGGCAGCUUUGACGAAAAACUUUUCUCUUGUGGGUAUUACUAUCAAAAAUAGGAGUGAUAUGCUCAUCUUCAGAUGUGCUUUCCAAGGAGGCAUGCAGUCCAGAGGGAUCUUCAGCCAUCUCUAGUUGGAUCAGCUCAUCCAGACCUGCUAAGAAAAAGAACACCUUGUCUGAGAAACUUUCACAAACCUAAACAACAUUCCAAAAAAUACCUGUUAUCUGCCUUCCAAAAAAAUUAUUUUAUACACACACAUUAUAAACAGAGGAGAGCACAAAAGUUAAUGACAUAUCCUGAUCUCUCACUUUACUGAGAGCAGAUCAAAUUAACAUGAUAUGUAAUGUGUAGUAUCAAUAUAGAAUUGAAAGAAAGAUUAAUAUACAGAUACAUACUAUUCAACUGCCAACUUUUUAGUGAUAUUUAUCAAGAAGGGUAGAUCAGAAGUGUUGAUCAUGAGAAGGCAUUUUUUUCUUCACAUUGUUUUUCUCAUGAAGGAUAACUAUGUCUUUCAGCCUCCCUAGAAGAUAUGUUAACAUUCAGCUCCACCAGGACCAUGUUUUUCUCCAUGGGGAUUUUUUUUUUUUUUUCAGUCAGAAAGAGACCGCUCAAAGUCUGAUAUGCAAUAGGUUUUUCCUACUUUUUUAUUGAUUUCCUUCAGGUUAAGUACUCUCUCAGGUGCAGAGUGAUAUGCUUCAGAAAGGUCUGCUUCACUGUGCAUCUUUCCAUCAAUUAUCUGGCCUUGAGCGUAGAGGAAAAUAGGUGAUCCCAAUUUGAGAUGUCAAUUCCUGCACCAAAUAAAAUAGCUGUUUAUUUGUGUUUCUAAUUGCCACUCAUCCUCUGCUCCUAAAUCCUUAAGUAAUUCAGGAACAGAUCAUGAGGACUCUGAAAUGAAAAAUGCCCAUUUCUGGCUUGGGACUGCAUGCUUGUCUUGUGAAUGUCCUAACACAAAGGUAUAUACAUGUGUAUUUGUCCACAUGUAGCAGUUCAUCACGAAAUAUAUCAAGACAAAAACAUAAAUACGGUUAAAUAUUUUUUUAAAUCUACAAACAGUCAGUGAUAACCAGUGGGAUGCCAACCUGCCAGCUGAUUUGCCCCAGUGCCCCUAAUAAUGGAUUACAGUAAACUAACUUCAAAGAGGACCAAUGAAGUUACAGAUCAGUUAUGUUUCAAAUAAUACCACAGAUAAGUGCAGUCACACUAUACAUUUGGAAGCACCUGCAAUUAAUUUAUCAGAUGAUGUUACCCAAGGCAAUGGAGA